UUUGCCAUCAUUCAGUUGGGCACUCUAGCGAGACUGCCGGUAAUAAACCGGAGGAAGGUGGGGGAUGACGUCAAAUCAUCAUGCCCUUAUGACCUGGGCUACACACGUGCUACAAUGGUUGGUACAACGAGUUGCGAGUCGGUGACGGCGAGCUAAUCUCUUAAAGCCAAUCUCAGUUCGGAUUGUAGGCUGCAACUCGCCUACAUGAAGUCGGAAUCGCUAGUAAUCGCGGAUCAGCACGCCGCGGUGAAUACGUUCCCGGGGCCCUU
rnacentral:rRNA from 1 species